AGGAGAGAUCAAAACAGCCCUUGACAGUGCAGGUGUGUGUUGGUGUUUUUGAGCAGGCGUGUGUGUUCUUCGGACACAGGAGAGAGCUGCUACCGCCGCACUCAGCCCAGUGGAGGACACCAAGGCCAGAGUGAGAGAAGGAGAGAGAGAAGGGACAUAGAGCCAGGUUGCUAAAAAAUAAACUCCUCAGGGUUGUUGGAGAGUUGAUCUGGUUUCUACUGGGAAAAGGUUCUAGAGACCGCUAAGAUGUUUUUCCGCAUCCCUCGACUGACCCCUGGAUACAUCAGAUACUUGCAGACUCAAGCUGCCCAGACCGUGCUGCAGAGCCGGGAAGGCCCCUUGAUGUCGAGGGUGGCCAUGCUGCUAGGGCUGAUGGGAGUUGGGAUGUCUGGGUACAGCUCACGACAGCUCACCCUGCACUGCAAGCCCUCCGCUAACCUGCUGAGAUGAGGCAAGACACAACACCUCUGACCUUCCACCCUGAAGACGACAACAUGGAUAAGAUUGAUUACUGGUGCAUAUCCAAUACCCCUGGAUUCCACUUACACUACAAGAAUAAUUAGUCUCUGUUUCCUAAAACGGUUUUGUUUUAGUUGAGUUUUUGUUUGUUACCCUUGCACCUUUGAUUUCCCCCAUUGUGGUUGAAGUUUGGGACGAACCAAGUUCAGAUUCUUAUUCUGAAAAGUUUAACAUUGAAGAUCGAUACUUUAAGGUUCCACACGCGCAGUUAUGACCAUAUAAGAUUAUCCCUCCAUUUAAAAAAAUCAAUAUUCUUUUAAACUACCUCUCCCUUUCAAACCAGUUAAAGUGUCAUUCAUCCAACAUACAUCAAUCCAUUCUUAUUGAGCUGUUUUCUUGAGCUGGUAACAUCCUCAACUUUAACCACCCAUUUUCUUUUUGUAAUUCUGUGCCUUAAAGGGAGCGAUCCAUUAAAAUCAGUUUAAAACACCAAAUGGUGUUACCUCACGCUAACCCAAGAAGACCCUAACCCAAGAAAUAAAGACAUCGCAAUGGAGAAAUAUUAAAUAUGUCAAAUAUUUUUCAAAACCUGCCGAAAUUCCCCAGUCCGCCUGUUUAUUGCCAUUCUCUUGUCUGUGUUUGGCAAGGCAUGUACACAGAGAUUAGCACCUCUGUCUUAGGGAAGGUAUCCAGUGUUUUCCUGAAUAAUGUAACGAGUGGCAGGAAAGGAGAGCGAAAUCAAAAUGGUAGCAUCUUGGAACUCUGAGAAUCCAGUUGGUCAUAGGGAUUAUAAAAAUGUUUUUUUGUCUGUUAUCAUCAAUGCUCUUGAUUCUGGAGACAAGAUUCCUUCAUUUGGUACUUGCUUUACCUUCUUUGUCUGCUAUGUUUGCAUGCAAAGAAAUACAGGAAAAAUCAUUUGACCAAGAUUCAAAAUGUACUCAACCGACCUGCUUCAAAUUGUAUUUUCUAAUAUCUUUUUUUAUUUGGUCAAGCCCAACUUUUUUCCAUUGAACCUUUUUGAUUUUGCACAGUGAAAAGAUUGAUAUUUUUACAUACAUUCUUUUCACCAAAACACUCUGACACUUUGCACUUUUUUAAGAAUGUAUGUGUGUGUACAUAAUAUGUACAUAAUGUACAUAUCUGAAUUAUUGAAGCUUGAAGAGAUUAGUAGAUGGUUAAGUGACAUGGAAAGUGACGCCAGAUUGGUUUGAGAACUAGUCUGGGUGGAAUCCAGCUGGAUUCACACACGGCACCACAGUUUGGUAUCAGGCAUCCAGGACAGCCACCCUGGAUGGACCUCACUGGACAAAUGCCACCGUAUGUGUGAAUUCACCGAGAUUCCUCCAAGUUGUCCUCCAUGUUUGUCAGAAUUGGGAUGUUUAGAUUAAUGGCCAUAUGGUCUCUUAACAUAGCUAGUAUGAAAUACUAUUUAUAUUUCCUUUAGAUUCAGAACAUGCAGUACACACUUUGUAAUAAGGGAAAUAAAUUUAACACGACAGCAUAUGAAUGUAUCACCGACACAAUGUAUGUUUCUUAGUGGUAUACUGUAAUUGUAAACAUGAACGUACUGUAGGUUACUGUGUCAUAACCAUGGGAUCCCACUAGUCUGGUUUAGAGGAAACAGUGGAUGUAACCAGACCUUAGAUUUACACUGGAUUCUCCAAUAGAACAGAUUACCAUGCCGUUGGUAGUUGUCCAGUGAUCCAGUGGUCUUCCGGUGAUCCAGUAGUCUUCCAGUGAUCCAAUUAGGAGAAGUGUCUCUUUUAUGUCCAGCUUCACCAGUAUAAAGGGUUAGUGACCCUAAAUAGUGACCCUAAAUAGUGACCCUAAAUAGAGACCCUGCUAUAGAGACCCUGCUAUAGAGACCCAGACCAGUGAGAGGAACAUAGUAGGAGUUCUGAAACCCCUAGUUUAUCUUAGUCAAUGUAAUGUUACAUGAACUUGGUGAAGAACUGACACAGAAUUCAAUUCGGGAACAUGAUUGAUAUUGAAAGCUGCAAUGGGGGAGUGAUGUUAUCUCUAUACACAGUGUAAAGGGUCAUUGCUGUUUAAUAGCUAUAGUACACUACAGUGCUGUUUGUUUUACACGGUUACAUUUCAUACCAAAAGGCUUACAAUAGGCCUAUCUUUGUAUUGUUGCUAAAUGUAACAAUGUUGUUUAGGAAUGCCAUAGUGAAUUGAAGAAUUAUGACUGCUUCACAAAGCACCCUUGAAUAUCUAUUCAUGUUUAUUGUUAUGAUACAGCAUGUAUCAAUACUAUGAAUAAAAACCUAUAAACGGA